AAAAUUACAUAUUUCUUAUAAUCAAGGGACCAAAUUGCAAUUCUCCCACUUCUUUUUAUUUUUCCGCUAUGUAAAAGAAACAUGAAAUAUCUCCCCCGGCCAACCAUCUCUAUAAAUAUCCCAUUUCCUUCGCGCCAUUCCAUUUCAAAUGUUCAUUCUCACAGAAUCGCAGGCGACGUUCUCUUCGAGAUUCCUUUUCUAGAAUUUUCUUCUCCGAUACAGUUUCUUACUCAACACGAAAACGAAAAGCUAAGUUCACAGAGCCGAUCGCUUCGAUGUUUUCGAUUUCUAGGGUUUUACAUCCUUGCUUUGUGAUCGAUUAGGCCACAAAAUCAACGUAGAAGGAUUCCUACGUCGUGUAUAUUGGGAAAUUCGGCGAUUAUUUGUGUUUUAUUAGAAAAUGAGUAAGCUUUUAGGAUUAUCAGGCAUGAAAGGCCGCGAUCACUUCAAAUCGCUGGCCGGAGCUGGUUUAGGAGCUGCGAAAGCCAUGCCGAUAACGACGCGCAUGUCCGCUGACAUGGUUUCUUCUGGAAGUUUUGCGAAUUUGAAGCUUACAGCAGAGAAAUUGGUGAAGGAGCAAGCUUCUGCUAAAACUGAUCUGCAAUUGGCGAACUCUAAAUUGAAGAAGUUGAUUGAAGAUAUUCAUAUGCUGGAAGAAAAGUUGCAAAAUGCGUACAAUGAAAAUGCUAAGUUGAAAGUGAAGCAGAAAGAAGACGAGAAGCUUUGGAAAGGGCUGGAAUCUAAAUUUUCUUCAACAAAGACUUUGUGUGAUCAGCUAACUGAAACUUUACAGCACCUAGCUGGUGUGGUUCAGGAUGCUGAAAAAGACAAGGCAUCUUUUGAAGAUAGACGAUCUGCAACUUCUGUUGUUAUUGAUAACUUGCAGGACAACAUUAAAGCCCUCUCUUUGAGGCUGGAAUCCUCUGAAGAAACUGUUAGAAAUUGUAAAAGGGAGCUGAAUGAACUCGGUAUCGAGAAGGAGAAAAUGGAGAACUCUUUCAGGGUUGAACAGAGCAAAAGUAUCAGUGUAAUUGAGGAGAAAGAUGCCACGAUCAAGGAAUUCGAAGCUACUGUAGCAGCUAAUGGACUUGCAGUGGAGAAUUUGAAGUCCAAGUUGGAAGAAUUACAUCUCGAAUCAAGAUUAAAAGAAGAUGAACUGGAGGACUUGAGGAAUGUCAAAAAGAAUUUGGAUAAAGAAAGAAGUGAUUUGGUAUCUAGAAAUAGCAACUUUGCCAAACAAUUAGAUACAUCACUUCAGGAGAUAAAGAACCUUAAUGAGUUUGUGAAUCAAAUGGUGAUAAAGUUUACUCAUUUGGAUAGUCAAAGUCUCGCCUUUGCGGAGAAGAUAGUUCAGCUUAAUGCUUUAUUUGACGCUGGAUUUGAAAUGAUGAGAGAGAAGGGGGAACUUGCUGCUCGGCAUGCUCAACGAAAGUUUGACAAGCUCCAGGAUCAAUAUACAAGCGUUAUAUCAGAGAAAAAUUCUCUAAAGUUAGCUAAUAAGGACUUGAAGGACAAAGUCUCUGCACUUCAGAACGAGCAGGAAUGUGCAAUGGUGCAGCAUGCUGAAGAAUCCCGUUUAGCAGAAGAUCGGAUUAGAAAAUUAGAGUCUGAAGCAGAACUGCUUCUUUCCAAGAAGAUGGAGAUGGAAGUGCUGAUUAGCAAGCUGCAGGAGAAUGUUGUCGCUUUAUCAGAAAAUUCAAAACUAUCGGAGAAUGAAAUGCAAAAUUUAUUGGUGAAACUCUCUGAGAUGGAAACAGAUAACAAGGACCAUAUUGAAAAGCUUCAAUCAGACAUGCAGAAAAAGGAAGAUGAAAUCCAUAUUUUACGCAAGGAAAUUGACAAGUACACAGAAACAGUGGAAUCACUGGAGAAGCAUGUUGCAGAGAUUAACAAUAAAUUGGAGGAGAAAGAUAAGCUUGUUCAGGAACUUCAGGACAGGCAGAAACAAUUGGAAGCUGAGAGAGAAAAGAUUCAAGCAUCUUUGCUUGCUGCUGAAAGCAACCUUGCAGAAGCUAAAAAGCAGCAUGAUCAGAUGUUAGAAAGCAAACAACUAGAACUUUCUAGGCAUUUAAAGGAAUUAUCUCAGAAAAAUGAUCAGGCCAUCAGUGACAUCCGGAGGAAGUAUGACUUGGAGAAGUUGGAAAGUAUCAAUCUAGAGAAGGAGAAGGCUGAAAAAAUUAUUGGAGAGAUGGAAAGAAACUGUGAGUUAAAGCUGUUGGAAUACAGAGAAGAAUCUAAUCAGAACUUGAAGCAUGUACAGGAAGAACAUGCUGCUUUGGUAUGUCAUAUUCAACAAGAACACAGCAAGAAGGAAAUGAGUCUUGUUUCCAGUCACAAUGAAGAGCUAAAACGUGUCCGACUUCAGUAUGAAAAUGAACUGAGAGAAAAAACAAGUUCAAUGAGGAAUGAGCAUGAAGCUCAGUUAAGAGCUCUGAGACUUGAGCUUGAGGAUGAAUGCAGAAGACUGCAGGAGGAGUUGGAUAUGCUGAAGUCUAAAGAGGAGAAACAGAGGGCUCUGUUGCAGUUGCAAUGGAAAGUAAUGGGAAAUAAUCCGGAAGAGGAAGAAGUGACUUCAAAGAAGAAGCACUCUGGGUCAUUGACCAAAAGAAACCAAUCUGAUAGUUGCAAAAAGGGCCAGCUUGCACCGGUGAGAGCUGAAGCUAAGGAUGUGGAUGCACAUUAUCUGGAAGGAAGUCAAACACCUGUAUCAAAUUUGUUGAGGAAAGUGGAGAAGGUGAAUACAGGAAGUGUUAUUAGUAUGCCCAAACAUAGUAGGAAGGUGACUCAUCAUGAAUAUGAAGUUGAAACCACAAAUGGCAGAACAAUCACAAAACGAAGAAAAACGAAAAGCACAGUCAUGUUUGAUGUACGUAAAAUUGAAUCCUUAGCAGCAUUGCUGGCCAUUGUUACCAGAUUCAAUCUGUCAGUUUCUAGACUUCUGGCCCGCCAAUGUACGAUGAGCCUAAACUUUAUAUUACUGAUUAUGAAAGGAUCCAUCAAAGAACAAGAAGAAAAGGACACCAAAAGUGAAGACUCCCAGAGAGGUUAUCAGGAGCAUUAAAGGAGGAAGUCAUCCAAAACCUGCAAACAUAGGUGAUUUAUUCUCGGAAGGAUCUCUGAAUCCAUAUGCUGAUGAUCCCUAUGCGUUUGGCUAGAGGUGAAGAUGUCCCACUCCAGUGCAGAGCUUCCUAGAGAAUCUGAAACUUUGACCUGGAAAUGUGUGUGCGCUGAUUCUUUGAUUGCAGACGUAUAGCUGGCUGCUUUCCACAUUGCAAGGAACUAGAAUUUUACUUCCCCCAAAAAUAAAACUGUAUAUAACUGCAAUUAAUGUGUGAAAAAAAUUCUGGGAGAAAUAAUGUGAUUAGAGCUCGGUUGGAGAGGACGUGCACCAGUGUAAAGUCACCAGUUGCGUAGAGCUACAUUUAUUUUUGUUAUGUGCUUCCAAACUGCAUUAGCUUAGCUUUUGUUGUACUUAAUCUUUGAUUGUGGUUUUUUUAA